CAGUCGCCGCGGUAAUACAGAGGGUGCGAGCGUUAAUCGGAUUUACUGGGCGUAAAGCGUGCGUAGGCGGCUAAUUGAGUCGGAUGUGAAAUACCCGAGCUUAACUUGGGAAUUGCAUUCGAUACUGGUUAGCUAGAGUGUGGGAGAGGAUGGUAGAAUUCCAGGUGUAGCGGUGAAAUGCGUAGAGAUCUGGAGGAAUACCGAUGGCGAAGGCAGCCAUCUGGCCUAACACUGACGCUGAGGUACGAAAGCAUGGGGAGCAAACAGGAUUAGAUACCCCGGUAGUCCCUGUCUCUUAUAC
rnacentral:rRNA from 1 species